AACGAACGCUGGCAGCGUGGAUUAGGCAUGCAAGUCGAACGGGAUCCGGAAGGUAGCCAUACCGGCCGGUGAGAGUGGCGGAAGGGCGAGGCGCACGUGGACAACCUGUCCCGUGGGUGGGGAUACCGUCCCGAAAGGGGCGUUAAUACCGAAUGGUGCCCCGGACCGCAUGGUCCGGCUGCCAAAGGCGGGGGCCGCCACGCCCGCCCCCCCGCGAGGUGUCCGCGCACCAUCAGCUAGUCGGCGGGUUAACGGCCCACCGUGGCUUACGGUUAGCUGGUCUGAGAGGACGACCAGCCGCACUGGGACUGAGACACGGCCCAGACUCCUACGGGAGGCUGCAGUAGAGGAUCAUUCGCAAUGGGCGAAAGCCUGACGAUGCGACGCUGCGUGGAGGAUGAAGGCCCUCGGGUCGUAAAACCCUGUCAUGGGGGGCGAGGCGGAGGCGGUUAACGGCCGCCCGAGUUGACGGUACCCCAAGAGGAAGCCACGGCUAACUCUGUG
rnacentral:rRNA from 1 species